CCUACGGGAGGCAGCAGUGAGGAAUAUUGGUCAAUGGACGAGAGUCUGAACCAGCCAAGUCGCGUGAAGGAUGACUGCCCUAUGGGUUGUAAACUUCUUUUAUAAAGGAAUAAAACGAGGCACGCGUGCCUUUUUGCAUGUACUUUAUGAAUAAGGAUCGGCUAACUCCGUGCCAGCAGCCGCGGUAAUACGGAGGAUCCGAGCGUUAUCCGGAUUUAUUGGGUUUAAAGGGAGCGUAGAUGGGUUGUUAAGUCAGUUGUGAAAGGUUGCGGCUCAACCGUAAAAUUGCAAUUGAUACUGGCAGUCUUGAGUACAGUUGAGGUAGGCGGAAUUCGUGGUGUAGCGGUGAAAUGCUUAGAUAUCACGAAGAACCCCGAUUGCGAAGGCAGCUUACUAAACUGUGACUGACAUUGAUGCUCGAAAGUGUGGGUAUCAAACAGGAUUAGAUACCCGAGUAGUC
rnacentral:rRNA from 1 species